rnacentral:rRNA from 1 species
AAUUGGAUUAAUACCUCAUAGUAUAAUUGAAUGGCAUCAUUUAAUUAUUAAAGUCACAACGGUAAAAGAUGAGCAUGCGUCCCAUUAGCUAGUUGGUAAGGUAACGGCUUACCAAGGCAACGAUGGGUAGGGGUCCUGAGAGGGAGAUCCCCCACACUGGUACUGAGACACGGACCAGACUCCUACGGGAGGCAGCAGUGAGGAAUAUUGGACAAUGGGCGCAAGCCUGAUCCAGCCAUGCCGCGUGCAGGAUGACGGUCCUAUGGAUUGUAAACUGCUUUUGUACGAGAAGAAACACUGAUUCGUGAAUCAGCUUGACGGUAUCGUAAGAAUAAGGAUCGGCUAACUCCGUGCCAGCAGCCGCGGUAAUACGGAGGAUCCAAGCGUUAUCCGGAAUCAUUGGGUUUAAAGGGUCCGUAGGCGGUUUAGUAAGUCAGUGGUGAAAGCCCAUCGCUCAACGGUGGAACGGCCAUUGAUACUGCUGAACUUGAAUUAUUAGGAAGUAACUAGAAUAUGUAGUGUAGCGGUGAAAUGCUUAGAGAUUACAUG